CCCCUCUCGAGAGUUUAUCGUGUUUUAUAAAUUUAAAGCCCACGGGGCCAUUCAAAGUGAAGACAGCUCUAGAGCCCGAGGCCAGUGCUGCGUGCACCCCGUUUCAUGCCCCCCCCCACGACACAGCAGAGCGCGCCACGGGCCUCAGGCAGAUGGGCUGUUUCCUCGCGAGAUUUAGAGAAGCCUGGAGACCUCCUGCUGCUCGCCUUGCACGAGCGUCUCUCCCCACCACACAGUCCAGGCUGCGCUUGAGUCUCGGAGACGUUCAUCCUGGGUUUGUUAGAUACAGAUUUCCAGGGCAGAAAGCGGCCGCCACCCAGGGUCUCCUGCCGGCCACCCGAGAGGACGGAGCAGAUGACCGGUGCUCUGGGGAGGACUCGUCACUGCUGGGCCGGGGGAAGAGGAGCAGGAGGCUGGGUCUCCCGGACUUCUCAGAGCCCUGGCUGGUUCCCGGGGACAGCCCCUCGGCACGGUGUGACAUUCCUCAGAAGAUGCAUUUUACCUGCUGAAAUGGCCUGGGAAUUUUUUUCUCCUUCCUUAGAGGUAACUGCAGGGAAGAGACCGACUUUGUACCAAAGCAUUUGUUACAGUUCUCCUCUACUAUGAGGUAUGCAGAACGCAGGGAUUGUGUCCAACGGUGACGAAAAAUGGAAGUGCAGACAGAAGGGUGCGCGUCCUGGAACUCCAGACACGGCUUGCGUACAGCAGCGUCGGGGAAGUCCGGUUUAGCCUCAAUUUGAUAACAUGAACCCAUGAACCCAUGAACCACGGACUUGGGCCUUUUCCUGGCUUCUCCCACCUGACCAACAGCCUUGAGCCGCAGCCUCCUUCCGAAGGCGCGCCCUGAGGUUCCUGUCGCCCACCGCCUUUGUCACCUCCCUGCCUCCCGAGACCGUCACACAGAGGGACUGCCCUGCAGAGACCAUCACCCGGGCACACACUACCCUGGCUGCAGGAAGGAGUUUGUUCGCAAGCGCCGGCACACAGCUGCUUCCUUGUACUUCCUGCGGCCCUCGCAGUUGGCAGAUCUAAGAAAUGUGAGCAUUUAUCAAAAAAGACUUUCACUUUGAAAUGUUCCUUGUUUCAGUCCAGUCCUUUUGGUAGAAAAGCAGUGUUUAGCCUUGCUGGGCUCCUGCACAGAUCCACAGCACGGCAGCCCCCUUUCGGUUCUCACCCCAGUGUAAACGCCAGCCCUGGUGGAAGCUUCUCAAGUCUCUUUCCUCCUCCUCCAUCGGGCGGGGAGGGCGUGCUGCACACCGCGGCCCGAGGCCUUGGGGCAGAUCUGUUCCCCGCGUGCGGGCGCAGACGAGGAACUGGGGGCGCCGCAGGGUUCAUCUUCUCCACGCUGAGCGCACCCAGCACGGUGCCGCCCCGCCCUGUCCCUUCGGGCCGCGGUGCAAAGGGAAGGCCUGGCCUCCGCUGCUGAGCCUGCCUGGGCGCCCCCGUGCGGGACCCUUCAGCCGCGGGCAGCCUCCGUGCUGCGCGAUCCAGUGACCCCUCAGCCCCUGCAGAGCGGGAGCCCAGCGUCUCCGGUGCUUCCUGUGGGCACAGGCUCUUCCUAAGCUCGGCAGCAGGCUCCUCACAGGUAUCAGCGAGCACUGUGCAGUGUGCUUACCGAGUUCGCCCUGGGAAAACAUG
ensembl:lncRNA